rnacentral:rRNA from 1 species
CCUACGGGUGGCAGCAGUGAGGAAUAUUGGUCAAUGGACGCAAGUCUGAACCAGCCAUGCCGCGUGCAGGAUGACGGCUCUAUGAGUUGUAAACUGCUUUUGUACGAGGGUAACCCCGAUACGCUUAUCGGCUUUAAAUUAUCGUUCGAAUCAGGAUCGGCUCACUCCGUGCCAGCAGCCGCGGUAAUACGGAGGGUCCGAGCGUUAUCCGGAUUUAUUGGGUUUAAAGGGUGCGUAGGCGGUUUGAUAAGUUAGAGGUGAAAUGUCGGGGCUCAACCCCGAAACUGCCUCUAAUACUGUUGGACUAGAGAGUAGGUGCGGUAGGCGGAAUGUAUGGUGUAGCGGUGAAAUGCUUAGAGAUCAUACAGAACACCGAUUGCGAAGGCAGCUUACCAAACUAUAUCUGACGUUGAGGCACGAAAGCGUGGGUAGCAAACAGGAUUAGAUACCCGGGUAGUC